rnacentral:lncRNA from 1 species
CUUUCUUCAUCUUCUUCAUCACUUGGAUUAGAGAAGAAAGCUUGUUUAAGGUAAGCUUCAUGGACUCUAAUGGCAUAUAGCUAGAGAUGGGUUUAAAUCUCUUAGAAUCUAGCUAGAUGGAAAUCCUAGUUAAUGUUAGGUUGCUAUUUGCUUGAAUCAUGAAUUUAUAUAGUGUAUUAUUGCAAUAGUGACCUCUAGGAUUUUGAAAGAGAGCUCUUGAUCAUGAGAGGUUUUAAUCUCAAUUGAUCAUAUGUUUCCGCAAUUGAAGGUGAAACCGACUCGGAGGAUCAUUCGGAUUGAGAUUCCGUUAAGCCGGUGGUGGUCAAAGUGAAGAAAAUUCUAUUUUGCUUCAUUUGUCGCAGUUGGAAGAAAACAACGGCCAUAAAUCGCGCUACUAGGCUACUCGCUUCGUGUCGACAUCACGAGGUGGGGGGUGCUAUCCGAAAUAGCCGAGUUUCAUUCUAUGUCUAAGUUCUACUUUUAUUGAUCAUAUAUCAUCAUGCAUAGAAUAGUGAGAAUCCUAUGAGUUGUGGUAAUUUCAUGCUUAGUGUGAGGGAUAAUGAUCCAUGAUUGCAUGAUACUUGUAGGAAUAUCUAUUUGCAUGAUGUUGAGAUAGAUGUGGACAUGUAUGUUGUAUGAGAACUUUUAUAUGAUGCCAAUAUAAAUAUUGUACAUGUUGUAUGAAUUGCUAGUGGACAUAUGCAUGUGAAUAUGAUGUAAGAAUAGACUAGAUUCAUGAGGAACUAGUAUGUAAACCAAUGACAUUGUGAGAAUUGGAAACUAAUGCAUAUGUGGCCGACCUAAGCAAAGCAUGCCUUGUGAUGAUUGGGAUAUGGUACUCCCGUGGCCCUCGAAUGAGAGGACUUGAUCAUACUCGCAUUGUCUGUUAUAGCUUGUGGAUGGUCGCUCCUCCCAAGCAGUGAGCUCCGGAGUUGAAUCACAUUGAGAUUGGAACGGGGGAGAGAGUCACUACGGUGCGCCCUCGGCAGACCGGUCACGGUUGCGUGACAGUAUGUGUGGCGAGUGAUUCGACCUUCGGGCGAAUUGUUUGGAUUUGACAUAGGCAUGAUCAUGGCAUUUCGUAUAUAGUUUGCAUACAUGACAGAUUGAGGUGGUAUCAUAGAUGAUUUAUGAUCAAUAAAAGUAGAACUUAGACAUAGAAUGAAACUCGGCUAUUUCGGAUAGCACCCCCCACCUCGUGUUGUCGACACGAAGCGAGUAGCCUAGUAGCGCGAUUUAUGGCCGUCGUUUUCUUCCAACUGCGACAAAUGAAGCAAAAUAGAAUAGUGAGAAUCCUAUGAGUUGUGGUAAUUUCAUGCUUAGUGUGAGGGAUAAUUAUCCAUGAUUACAUGAUACUUGUAGGAAUAUCUAUUUGCAUGAUGUUGAGAUAGAUGUGGACAUGUAUGUUGUAUGAGAACUUUUAUAUGAUGCCAAUAUAAAUAUUGUACAUGUUGUAUGAAUUGCUAGUGGACAUAUGCAUGUGAAUAUGAUGUAAGAAUGGACUAGAUUCAUGAGGAACUAGUAUGUAAACCAAUGACAUUGUGAGAAUUGGAAACUAAUGCAUAUGUGGCCGACCUAAGCAAAGCAUGCCUUGUGAUGAUUGGGAUAUGGUACUCCCGUGGCCCUCGAAUGAGAGGACUUGAUCAUACUCGCAUUGUCUGUUAUAGCUUGUGGAUGGUCGCUCCUCCCAAGCAGUGAGCUCCGGAGUUGAAUCACAUUGAGAUUGGAACGGGGGAGAGAGUCACUACGGUGCGCCCUCGGCAGACGGUCACGAUCGCGUGACAGUAUGUGUGGCGAGUGAUUCGACCUUCAGGCGAAUCGUUUGGAUUUGACACAGGCAUGAUCAUGACAUUUUGUAUAUAGUUUGCAUACAUGACAGAUUGAGGUGGCAAUCCACGACCACACACAUGAACCAAUCCAUGUAUAAAAAUAAUAAAAUUUUAUUAAUGCAGCAAAUAAAUUAUUUAUAAUUACAAUAUUAUAUAUAAAUUGUUUGAUAUAAACUAUAAUUUAAUAAAAAUAAUUUAUUAUGAUAUUUAAAAAAAAUAAUUUACAAUAGUAUUUAAAUAUAAUUUAUUUUAAUAAUUUAUUAUAAUAUUUAAGUACGAAUGUAUGUAUAGAUAUAGCACAAUUAAUAAUUUUUAGGAUAAAUUUCAAAUAUCACUCUUAUAGUUUCGCACUUUCUCACUUUAGCACUCUAUAAUUUAAAGUGUAUCAUUUUAGUACCAUGUAGUUUCAUUUUUUUUAUUUUCAACAGUUCCUUUGUUAACUUUUCAUUAAAUCAUAUAUAAAAAACUUUAGAUACCCCACAUAUAGUUUAUCAAAUAUUUACUUUAGUACCCUUUAAUUUUGACUUUAUCACUGAUUUAAUAAAAAAAAAAUAGCGGAGGAAAUAAUAAAAAGAGAAAAAUAAAACCACAGGGUACGAAAGUAAUACACUUUUAAACCAUAUGGUACCAAACUGAAAAAGUGCGAAACUAAAUGGAUGGCAUUUAAAAUUUUUCCAAUUUUUAUAAUAAAAGUUAUUUAUUAUAAUAUAUAAUAUAUCACGUCUAUAUAAUUUAUUUUAAUUUAAUUUAUAAUUUUAAUAAAAUGUGGAAUUAAACUUUAAAAUAACAUUAUUUCACCAAAAGAAUGGAAUAGUUUACUCCAAACUAUUCCAGAAUAACCGUAAAUAGCAAAAUUUGACCGGAAUAAAAUAUUCCGGCUAAAAAACAUGCCGUAAUAACUUUCGUUAUCUCAGCUUUAUCCCCCAAGCUAUAGGAAGAACAACAACAUAU